GAGUGUUUAAAGCAGGCUCACGCUUGAAUACAUUAGCAUGGAUAAUGAAUAGGACGUUUGAUUCUAUUUUGUUGGUUUCUAGGAUCGACGUAAUGAUUAAUAGGGAUAGUUGGGGGCAUUAGUAUUCAAUUGUCAGAGGUGAAAUUCUUUGGAUUUAUUGAAGACUAACUACUGCGAAAAGCAUUUGCCAAGGAUGUUUUCAUUAAUCAAGAACGAAAGUUAGGGGAUCGAAGACGAUCAGAUACCGUCGUAGUCUUAACCAUAAACUAUGCCGACUAGGGAUCGGAUGAUGUUAAUUUUUAAUGACUCAUUCGGCGCCUUACG
rnacentral:rRNA from 1 species